GCGGGGGUGGCAGAGCCAGGUCAAUCCACCUAUUGGGGCAAGAUGCGCGGGACUCAAGAUCCUGUGCCGAAGGGCUGCGUGGGUUCAAAUCCCACCCCCCGCACCA
rnacentral:tRNA from 1 species